UGGUUCUGGAUGUCCGUCACGGCCAGGGCCCCGGUUCGAUUCGUGACAACACCUAUCACUAUGCUAUAUGCUAAGUCCUAACAACUUGUGCAAGACAAAUAAUAGAGAAUAUUCCUCUCUAUGUACACGUAUUAACAUUUGUCUUUGAUUGAGCCUAAUAAUUGUGAUUUGAAAAUAACUCUUUUGGAGCCCAAAGAACCAUUCUUCUUCGUCAACUCAUCAUUUGUUUAUUUCUUUUCAAACUCGAUUCGUUCGUUGAGCUAUAUGAGAAGUGUCCGAAGGUGUUGACUCUGGAUUUGAGAUCCUUUAACACAUAAAUUGCUCUAAAUAUAUUUUCCUAAGAACCAUACACUUCUGCUACGAAAAAGGAUCGUAAUAAGAAAGCUCAAUUUUUGCGCUUUUGCUACAAUCAAACAAUCCUCUUCGGAUGGUUCGUCCAAACUUUAGAGGAGGUAAGUGCAAUUCUGACUAUUCUAUUUUUGAAUUUGUGGUCAAAUUUUCUAGUCUUCUAUCCAUUACAUUGUUACUUUGGUCCAUUCAACAGUCGUUUGGUUCUCCAUAACCUUCCAAAGUCUAAGAACUGGGAUUUGAAAAUUAUUGUUUUUCUCUGAAUCUCCAGAGACAGAAAGAGUCUUUGGUCUAUUCCUCUCGUGGAAUGGCGUCUAUCAGUAUAUUUGACUGCCAUUUUCCUGAGCAACAGUCGAAGCAAAUCCAGAGAUAUUUUUCCCGUAUAACUACAUUCAUCUUGCGACCUCUAGUAGCCGCUGGAUCUUCCUCGUUCAUGAUGGAACCAUAUGUGGCGGAGCUAGGAAUUUGGCGAUAUGUGUGCAAAAUUGACUAGACACAUAAAAUAGCUAACAUUUUGCCUUUGUACACCGCAUAAAUAUCCAGCAAAGGGUGUGCACAGGGCCACCCUCCUUUGUCUAAGGUGGCUCCGUCCAUGCCAUACUAGACUCGGCUUCAUAGAUUAGUCGAGUCUAGUAUGUUCAUUCAUGAUAUGAACUUGGUAGCUGAUUCACUCACACAAGUUAAAGGAUCGGGACGUGACAUGUUUCUUUGUAACAAUCACAGCUAACGCUGGUCUGAAUCUGUCAUAGAUAUUUGAUCCCUCGUGACUCAAAGGCAUCCACUAAUUAAGGAAGGGGACAGUCACAUAUCUCAUUGCAGAGAACACAUAAAACAUGGAUAUGAAUGCAGAGAAAAUAAUAAUUGUUCCCUUCUCAAAUAUUCAAAGGUAUAAUUUGUCUUCCAGAAUUUCUUUUUCUGUGUGUGUUUUGCUUUAAUAGUUCUUAUUUGUUUCUUAGUAGGCAAAUUUUGUUGGAUUGUGCUUAUGACAUCUUAAAUUGGCGC